AUGAAGGUUUCCUGCUCUGUUAGUCUGGACGUCGUGACAGGAUUCACACUUCACCUCCAAGACCUUCAAGCUUCAGAUGAAUCAAACCCAACAGACAGCUGGCUCUGUCCGGACGCUUCCCCCCUGGUCCAGUUUGGCUCCAGCAGGUGUCAUGUGGUGGAUCUUCCAGCUGGAGGUGCUGCUUCACUCCUCCGUGUCCCGGGCGGAGGUGUGGUCCAGGCUGCUGGUGGCGGGCCUGCUGUGCGUGGUGCUGGCGGUCUCUUUGUGGGCCCUGAGGCGCCGCCUGGGGCCACGGCGGAACCAGGCGAGUUCAGAACUUCACGACCCGGCUCAGCUUCGGCCGAAUUCUCAUCUGAUUCUGCUUCAUUUCAGGAGGAACCCAAACAGUUUCGGGAAGCUGUUCAGAAAAGCAAGAAGAACCACUUUCUGUGGACGUCCCAGAGCAGAAGUCCAGAGCUCCAAGUUCCCGUUUCCGUGGCUCUGGCAGACUCUGUGCUCCUCUGUGUCCUUCAGGAGACCCUCCAGGAGCCCAGUGUGGCCCACAUUGAGGCCCUCCUCUCCAGGUUAGAGGCAGUGGCUCGCUCUCUGGAGAACACCAGCGUCGGAUCAGAACCAAAACCAGAGGAGGACGGAGGCGGCACGCUGUCAGACAAAGUGAAACUGACCUCCGGCUACCUGCAGGAUAGGAUUGGGUCUCUGCAGGCUCUCGUCCAGGUGCAGGCGGGUUUCGAAGCCAGCGUGGAGGACAUGCUGCAGGGCCUGGACGGCCUCUGGAAGCAGCUGGAAGAUCUGCACACAGGGGUCACGCUGUCCAAACGGGAGGGGCAAGGUCACAAAGAUCUGGAUUCAGCGCAGACCGAGGCGGAGACUCUGUUUGCGGUUCUGAAUCACUACAAGAACCAGCUUGGUUCAUGUGAGGUCCAGCUGAAGGAGAGCACGCAGCUGCUGCAGGAGCUGACGUGGAGCCACACCCACAUCUGCAACAAGGUGAACAGCAGCAGCGAGUCCGUCUGGCCCGAGCUCCUCCUGCAGGCCAACAUCGAGCAGUUCGACAAGGUGCAGGAGAGCUUCACCUGCCUGGAGCAGCAGACCUCCACCUUCCAGGCCCACCUGGAGGGGCUCGGGAAAGGACAUCAGGAGCUGAUCUCCGCUGCUGGUCCGAGUUCAGCGACUCGUCAGGACGGCGAGGAGCCGGCGGAGCGCUCCGACGCCGCAGGCUCGGGAAAGAGCUCCUCCCUGCUGCUGUGUGGGAGGUCCGGCCGGCCCCUCUCCUCCCCGUUUGGACGUCUGCGCAAAAACGCAAAGAAAAAGUGAUGCUGGUGUCUCUGUACGUCCAGAAGAUUCUGCAGAUGUUGAUCGUCUGAUUAUUUAGUCUUUUGUCUGCAGCUUGAUGCUGAGUCAUUUCUUAAAGAAAAUAUUGUUUUACGGGCUGUAGAAAGUCAGAAAGGUCGUGGGUCAAAUCCUGCUUGGGUUCUUUCUGUGUAAAGUUUUUUGCCCUGUGACGGUUUGGGGACCUGUCCAGGACGUACUGCGCCUUCAUAGGGAUAGGCUCCAGCAACCCUCUGACCCCUAAAGGGAAAGAGCAGGUUUAGAAAAUGGAAACAAAACACAAGAGGGCGCACUUCCCCCAUUUAUGACCCGAGUUCACGUUUGAAAGAGAAAAACUGGAAUCACCAAACCAAACAUGUCAAAAUAUGUUUUUUUAAAUUGUCAGAAACAUGGUAAAUUAUUCAACUGUUAUUUAUGCAUAAAUAUGAAAAAACCCGCGUGUUUGGUUAUUUUGUAAAAUGUUUGCCUCUGUCUGCAGUAGCUUUAGCAUCUGCAGGAGUCCGAGCGUCUGCGUCAGACCGAAUGUCUGCAGUAGCUUUAGCAUCUGCAGCGGUCCGAGCGUCUGC
rnacentral:lncRNA from 1 species